CCCUUAGAUGUUCUGGGCCGCACGCGCGCUACACUGAUGCAUUCAACGAGCCUAUCCUUGACCGACAGGUCCGGGUAAUCUUUGAAUCUGCAUCGUGACGGGGAUAGAUUAUUGCAAUUAUUAAUCUUCAACGAGGAAUGCCUAGUAGGCGCAAGUCAUCAGCUUGCGUCGAUUACGUCCCUGCCCUUUGUACACACCGCCCGUUGCUCCUACCGAUUGGGUGUGCUGGUGAAAUGUUCGGAUCGGCCGUUUGUCGCGGUUUCCGCGGCUCGUGGCUGAGAAGUUCAUUAAACCCUCCCACCUAGAGGAAGGAGAAGUCGUAACA
rnacentral:rRNA from 1 species